AGUGAACGCUGGCGGUAGGCCUAACACAUGCAAGUCGAACGGCAGCACAGAGAAGCUUGCUCCUUGGGUGGCGAGUGGCGGACGGGUGAGGAAUACAUCGGAAUCUACUCUGUCGUGGGGGAUAACGUAGGGAAACUUACGCUAAUACCGCAUACGACCUACGGGUGAAAGCAGGGGAUCUUCGGACCUUGCGCGAUUGAAUGAGCCGAUGUCGGAUUAGCUAGUUGGCGGGGUAAAGGCCCAUCAAGGCGACGAUCCGUAGCUGGUCUGAGAGGAUGACCAGCCACACUGGAACUGAGACACGGUCCAGACUCCGUCGGGAGGCAGCAGUGGGGAAUAUUGGACAAUGGGCGCAAGCCUGAUCCAGCCAUACCGCGUGGGUGAAGGAGGCCUUCGGGUUGUAAAGCCCUUUUGUUGGGAAAGAAAUCCAUCUGGUUAAUACCCGGGUGGGAUGACGGUACCCAAAGAAUAAGCACCGGCUAACUUCGUGCCAGCCGCCGCCGUAA
rnacentral:rRNA from 1 species